rnacentral:rRNA from 1 species
UACGUAGGAGGCGAGCGUUAUCCGGAUUUAUUGGGCGUAAAGCGCGUGCAGGUGGUUUGGUAAGUUGGGUAUGAAAUCUCUUGGCUUAACUAAGAGAGGUUGCUCAAAACUACCAGACUAGAGGACGAUAGAGGAAGGUGGAAUUCCCGGUGUAGUAGUGAAAUGCGUAGAUAUCGGGAGGAACACCAGUGGCGAAGGCGGCCUUCUGGGUCGUUCCUGACACUAAGACGCGAAAGUAUGGGGAGCAAACGGGAUUAGAAACCCCGGUAGUCCAUACCGUAAACGAUGUGAACUUGAUGUCGGUAGCGUAAUAGUUAUCGGUGUCGUAGUUAACGCGAUAAGUUCACCGCCUGGGGAGUACGAUCGCAAGGUUAAA